AGGAUUGGCUCUGAGGGCUG
rnacentral:snRNA from 1 species